UACGAAGGGGGCUAGCGUUGUUCGGAAUUACUGGGCGUAAAGCGCACGUAGGCGGGCGAUUAAGUCAGGGGUGAAAUCCCGGAGCUCAACUCCGGAACUGCCUUUGAUACUGGUCGUCUAGAGAUCGGAAGAGGUGAGUGGAAUUCCCAGUGUAGAGGUGAAAUUCGUAGAUAUUGGGAAGAACACCAGUGGCGAAGGCGGCUCACUGGUCCGAUACUGACGCUGAGGUGCGAAAGCGUGGGGAGCAAGCAGG
rnacentral:rRNA from 1 species